rnacentral:rRNA from 1 species
UACGAAGGGGGCUAGCGUUGCUCGGAAUUACUGGGCGUAAAGGGCGCGUAGGCGGGUCGUUUAGUUAGAGGUGAAAGCCCAGGGCUCAACCCUGGAAUUGCCUUUAAUACUGGCGGCCUUGAGUAUGGCAGAGGUGUGUGGAACUCCGAGUGUAGAGGUGAAAUUCGAUAGAUAUUCGGAAGAAACACCAGUGGCGAAGGCGACACACUGGGCCAUUACUGACGCUGAGGCGCGAAAAGCGUGGGGGAG